CACGUAGGCACCAAGCGUUGUCCGGAUUUAUUGGGCGUAAAGAGCUCGUAGGCGGUUCAGUAAGUCGGGUGUGAAAACUUUGGGCUUAACCCAAAGCGUGCAUCUGAUACUGCUGUGACUUGAGUUCGGUAGGGGAGUGGGGAAUUCCUAGUGUAGCGGUGAAAUGCGUAGAUAUCAGGAGGAACACCGGUGGCGAAGGCGGCUACCUGGACCAGCACUGACACUGAGGCACGAAAGCGUGGGGAGCAAACAGG
rnacentral:rRNA from 1 species